rnacentral:rRNA from 1 species
GCCGCCCCGGGCGGGGUCCACGUGAUAUUAGCUAGUUGGCGGGGUAACGGCCCACCAAGGCUUAGAUGUCUAGCGGGUGUGAGAGCACGACCCGCGCCACUGGCACUGAGACACUGGCCAGACACCUACGGGUGGCUGCAGUCGAGGAUCUUCGGCAAUGGGGGCAACCCUGACCGAGCGACGCCGCGUGUGCGACGAAGGCCUUCGGGUUGUAAAGCACUGUCGAGGGGGAGGAAAGCCGAAAGGUGUGACCUAUCCCUGGAGGAAGCACGGGCUAAGUUCGUGCCAGCAGCCGCGGUAAGACGGACCGUGCGAACGUUGUUCGGAAUCACUGGGCUUAAAGGGCGCGUAGGCGGGCCGCCAGGCCCGCGGUGAAAUCCCCCGGCUCAACCGGGGAAGUGCCGCGGGGACCGGCGGUCUGGAGUGAGGUAGGGGCGUGCGGAACUGUGGGUGGAGCGGUGAAAUGCGUUGAUAUCCACAGGAACUCCGGUGGCGAAGGCGGCACGCUGGACCUCCACUGACGCUGAGGCGCGAAAGCCAAGGGAGCGAACGGGAUUAGAUACCCCGGUAGUCCUGGCCCUAAACGUUGGGGACUGGGUAGCAGGCCGGACAUGGGCUUGCUGCCGGAGCGAAAGUGUUAAGUCCCCCGCCUGGGGAGUAUGGUCGCAAGGCUGAAACUCAAAGGAAUUGACGG